UCGGUUCCGGUUCACGUCACAUGCGAUCCACGCAGGCGACCCGGAGCA
rfam:Nocardioides sp. Soil774 contig_3, whole genome shotgun sequence.